rnacentral:lncRNA from 1 species
UGAUCUUGGUUAUUUCUCUUCUGCUGCUGGGUUUAUUGCUUCCUUGAUUGGCUUAAUAAUCGACGUCUGAAUUCUUUUUCUGGCAAUUCAGAGAUUUCUUCUUAGUUUGAAUCCAUUGCUGGUGAGCUAGUGUGAUCUUUUGGGGUUGUUAAAAAAGCUUAUUUUGUCAUUUAACCAGAAUUGUUUUUCUGGUUCCUUCCCAUUGGGGUAGACUAUAUCAGAUUCUUUUGUCCCACGGGGGUGCUUUCUUGAUGUGGUACUCUCCCCUCUCCCCUAGGGAUGGGGCUUCCUGAGCUGAACUGCAGUGAUUACUAUUUCUCUUCUGGAUCUAGCCACCCAGAGGAGCUACCAGGCUCUGAGCUAGGACUGGAGAGUGUCUGCAAAGAGUCCUGUGAUGUGAUCCAUCUUCAGGUCUCUCAGCCAUCGACACCAGCACCUACUCUGGUGGAGGUAUCAAAGGAGUGAAGUAAACUCUGUCAGAGUCCUUGGUUGUAUUUCUGUUAUGUACACAGGUUUUGUGCUGGUUGGCUUCUAAUCAGGAGGUGGAGCUUUCAAGAGCUUAUUAGCUGUAGUUGUACAGGGAGGAUACAAACUUGCCCUAGGGUCACAUUUGGAUAAGUAUUCAAGUUUCUCAGGUGGUGGUCAGGGCCACAGAGCUCCUAAGAGACUAUUUCCUUUGUCUUCAGCUACCCAGGCAAGUAGACAAAGACCAUCAGGUGGGGGCAGGGUUAGGUGUAUCUGAGCUCAGACUCUCCCUGGGUGGGGUUUGUUGUGGCUGCUCUGGGGGUUGGGGGUGUGGUUCCCAGGCCAAUGGAGUUAUGUUCCCAGGGGAUUAUGGCUGCCUCCACUGCAUCACAAAGGUAUCCAGGGAAGGUGGGGGGAAAGCCAGCAGCCACAGGCCUCAUCUAGCUCCCAAGCAGCCUACAGCCUUUUGAAAGGCCAGUCUUACUCUCCCAACAGCACUGAGUUUAUUCCCAGGCAGCCAGUGAGCAGGGCUGUGAAUUUACCCCAGGCUACAAGCCUCCUAGUUGAGAAAGCAAGCUGACUCACAGUUCCUUGGCUGUCCAAUGGAGCCUGCAGUGGCAAUCCACCUCCUUCAAAGGAUGGUGUCAGAAGUGGGAUCCCAAGCAGAGCUUCUAGGGACCCCCAGGAGUGCCAAGUGAACAUGCAAGCUACCUUCAGGACCCACUUGUGUCCAUGGAUCUCUCAAAGCAGCUGAGGAUUGUGGGGCAACCAUCUUGUCCAGAGACCACGUAUUGAAACUCCUAGACUGAGGUUGGAUUAAAGAUGAUGGGGCCCCCAGUGCAAAAACAUACCAAAUUGUAAAGGCUAUCAACACUAUGAAGAAACUUCAUCAACUAAUGAGCAA